AGGGAAUCUUCCGCAAUGGGCGAAAGCCUGACGGAGCAACGCCGCGUGAGUGAAGAAGGAUUUCGGUUCGUAAAGCUCUGUUGUUAGGGAAGAAUGAUUGUGUAGUAACUGUACACAGUAGAGACGGUACCUAACCAGAAAGCCACGGCUAACUACGUGCCAGCAGCCGCGGUAAUACGUAGGUGGCAAGCGUUGUCCGGAAUUAUUGGGCGUAAAGCGCGCGCAGGUGGUUUAAUAAGUCUGAUGUGAAAGCCCACGGCUCAACCGUGGAGGGUCAUUGGAAACUGUUAAACUUGAGUGCAGGAGAGAAAAGUGGAAUUCCUAGUGUAGCGGUGAAAUGCGUAGAGAUUAGGAGGAACACCAGUGGCGAAGGCGGCUUUUUGGCCUGUAACUGACACUGAGGCGCGAAAGCGUGGGGAGCAAACAGGAUUAGAUACCCUGGUAGUCCACGCCGUAAACGAUGAGUGCUAAGUGUUGGUCUCAUAAGAGAUCAGUGCUGCAGCUAACGCAUUAAGCACUCCGCCUGGGGAGUACGACCGCAAGGUUG
rnacentral:rRNA from 1 species